AUGAGUCUGCUGGCCUGGAACUGUCGAGGACUGGGGUUGGACUCGACAGUUGGCGAGCUUAGAGACCUGGUACGGUAAUACAACCCAGCGGUGGUUUUUUUAUCUGAAACAAAAAAAUCUGCAAAAGCUAUGGAGAGGUUAAAGUGGAGUUUGGGAUUCACCAAUGGAGUGGCAGUUAAUUGUGUGGGCAAAAGUGGUGGUCUAGCACUGUGGUGGAGGGAUUAUGUUAAGGUAAGCAUCAGACCCUGG
rnacentral:rRNA from 1 species